rnacentral:rRNA from 1 species
AUAUAAAAAAUUAUUUAAUUUUUUAAAAAAAAUAUAUUUAUGUUUUAGUUUUUAUAAAUAAAAAAUAGUAUUUAUGAUAGUUAAUUAGUAUAGUGAUAGAAUUUUAUUUUAUAUUUAAAAGUAAAUUUUAUUUAUUGUACCUUGUGUAUCAGGGUUUAUUAAUUAAAAAUUAAAAAUUUAAUAAUCUCGAUUUUAUAAGAGUUAAUUAAUUAUAGAUUUAAUUGUAAAAUAAAUUUUUAUAAUAAUUAAUUAGAAAUGAAAUGUUAUUCGUUUAUAAAUAUAUCUAGUUUUUAAAGAAAAAAAUUUAAUUUUUUAUUAAUUUUAUUAUAUAUUUUAUUUUAAAAAUAUAUUUUUAUUAAUAAUUAUAAAUAUUGAGAUUAGUUAAUAUUUAAAUAUUUAAAAAAAGUUAAGAAUUAAAUAAUUAAUAAGAUUAGAAAUUUUUAUUAAUAAUUUGUUAUAAUUAAUUAUUUUAAUUUAUAAUUUUUAUUUUUUUUAAGUGUUUUAUUUAAAUAAUUUAUUUAAUUUAAAAAUAAAUGUAAUAAUGAUAUAAUUAGUAUAAUUUUAUUUAUAAAUAAAUUUUUAUUUAAAGGUUAAUUAAAGGAAUUCGGCAAAUAAAUUUUUCGCCUGUUUAUUAAAAACAUGUCUUAUGGAGUAUAAUUUUAAGUUUAACCUGCCCACUGAUAAUUUAAAUGGCCGCAGUAUUUUGACUGUGCAAAGGUAGCAUAAUAAUUAGUUUUUUAAUUGAAAGCUAGAAUGAAUGGUUGGACGAAAAAAUAACUGUCUCUAAUUAAUUUAAUUAAAAUUUAAUAUUUAAGUUAAAAAGCUUAAAUAAUUUUUAAAGACGAGAAGACCCUAUAGAGUUUUAUUUAAUUAAAUUUAUUUAAAUUUUAGUAUUAAAUUUUUUAUAAUUUAAAUUAAAUUUUAUUGGGGUGAUAGAAAAAUUUAAUUAACUUUUUUUAUAUAAUUACAUUAAUUAAUGAAUAAUUGAUCCAUGAUAAUGAUUAAAAGAAUAAAUUACCUUAGGGAUAACAGCGUAAUUUUUAUAAAGAGUUCAUAUCGAAAUAAAAGUUUGCGACCUCGAUGUUGGAUUAAAAUUUAAUUUUGGUGUAGAAGCUAAAAUUUUUAGUCUGUUCGACUAUUAAAAUUUUACAUGAUCUGAGUUUAGACCGGCGUGAGCCAGGUUAGUUUCUAUCUUAAAAUAAUUAUUAUAUUUUAGUACGAAAGGACCAAAUAUA